rnacentral:sRNA from 1 species
AAGGGAAAUCAACCACGUAUCAUCAUCAUCAUCAUUGCAUUGUUGUUGUUGUUGUUUUAACACACAUGCUUCCCUCGCUUCCCUCGCUUCCCUCGCUUUUCAUACUUGCACUUAUAUUUUAUAAUAUAAGAGCGGUAACUAUAGUACAUAACAUAGUAAUCGAUUUUAAGUUGUAAUUAAUAAUAAUAACUAUACACCCAUCAAUUACCAGUGAUCAUAUAGUUAUAUAUCAUCAAUCUAUUUUGUAGAAAUAUGGAGAGUUAGCUAUAAUAGUAUGUAGAGAGAUAGAUAUCUACCAUAGAUUCUGCAAAUAGUCUAGAGAUAAAAUAUAUAUUAUAUAUAUAUAUAUAUAGAUAGA